GAAAGAGUCUUCCUUAGGUGGAAUCGACAUACACACUUCAUUUGCUUACAAAAAAGAAGGGAUUGAGGUUUUGAUCCAAACCAAGAGGAGAGUUGAUUUUCAAGUGUAGGUUUUGUGACUCGACUAAAAAAAUAAGCUCAUUUCUAUAGGAAAGACUCCAUGAAGAUCGACAUAAUGUCAAUUAAUAAAUCAUGUAACUGGUAAAUAUUCAUUACUUUAUUUUUUUAGAAACUGGUCAUUGUUGCGAGGGAAUUCAACUAUUUCGAAACAUCUAAACCUCUUCUACUUUAAAAAUGAGAUAUAUUUUAGUGCCUGAUGUGCUUGACAAUGUCAUCUGCCUGUAGCUUAAGACAUCAAAAUUAGAAAGUUCUCUUA